rnacentral:lncRNA from 1 species
CCAAAUCAAAUCUGUUACUCUGAUAAUUCUAUUGUCUUUCCUUUUAUUUUAUAUUACCUUGUGUGUCUAAUUCGGUCUAUCCAGGAACUUAAGAGGGAGUGAGUGGUAAAAGGCAAGAGUGAAAACAUCACACAAAAGCCUAUAUUGAGAGCAUCAAACACGAGUGAACUACCAUUAAAGAGAGAAACACGUGAGUAGAGUGUGGUGAGGUCCUGAUUUUUUUUUAAUUUACUGCAACAUUCUUUGUUCCUUAAUCAUGGCAAGAGCUGGUGACAAUGGUGGUGUAUAUCAUCAACUGGACGAAUCUCAACGCUU